rnacentral:misc_RNA from 1 species
GAUGAAGAACGUAGCGAAAUGCGAUACUUGGUGUGAAUUGCAGAAUCCCGUGAACCAUCGAGUCUUUGAACGCAAGUUGCGCCUCCUGGUAGUCCGGGAGGCAUGCCUGUUCGAGCGUCACCAAAUCCAACUCAAGCGGUUUUGCGCUUGGUCGUGGCGGAAGAGUCGGUCUGGUUGCCGUCUCCCCUCCGAAAAUCAACGGCGGAAAGUCACUGGCAGUCAGCGUAGUAGUAUCGUUCGCCGAACAUCCAGUGGCAUUCCUGCCGACGUACCCCCACAAUUCUCGUGAUUGACCUCGGAUCAGGUAGGGAUACCCGCUGAACUUAAGCAUAUCAAUAAGCGGAGGA